AUGGACGCAAGUCUGAUGGAGCAACGCCGCGUGAGUGAAGAAGGCUUUCGGGUCGUAAAACUCUGUUGUUGGAGAAGAAUGGUCGGCAGAGUAACUGUUGUCGGCGUGACGGUAUCCAACCAGAAAGCCACGGCUAACUACGUGCCAGCAGCCGCGGUAAUACGUAGGUGGCAAGCGUUAUCCGGAUUUAUUGGGCGUAAAGCGAGCGCAGGCGGUUUUUUAAGUCUGAUGUGAAAGCCCUCGGCUUAACCGAGGAAGUGCAUCGGAAACUGGGAAACUUGAGUGCAGAAGAGGACAGUGGAACUCCAUGUGUAGCGGUGAAAUGCGUAGAUAUAUGGAAGAACACCAGUGGCGAAGGCGGCUGUCUGGUCUGUAACUGACGCUGAGGCUCGAAAGCAUGGGUAGCGAACAGGAUUAGAUACCCUGGUAGUCCAUGCCGUAAACGAUGAAUGCUAGGUGUUGGAGGGUUUCCGCCCUUCAGUGCCGCAGCUAACGUAUUAAGCAUUCCGCCUGGGGAGUACGACCGCAAGGUUGAAACUCAAAGGAAUUGACGGGGGCCCGCACAAGCGGUGGAGCAUGUGGUUUAAUACGAAGCAACGCGAAGAACCUUACCAGGUCUUGACAUCUUUUGAUCACCUGAGAGAUCAGGUUUCCC
rnacentral:rRNA from 2 species